GGCUCCCAAAGGCACGUGUC
rnacentral:snRNA from 1 species